CACAUGGUUCGUAGCUUUGAACGUAACAAAUUAAUUCUUAUUUCGAAACCAUAAAAUUUAGGAUCUCAUCCCACAGAACGUAUCAUCCACAUAGACAUCCAUAGUUCUAUCAAGAGUUUCAUGCAGCAUUUAGUUCUGGAACUGCUGGAAGUCAAUUAGAGAUUCAUGAUAGAUGAUCCACGAUGAAUGUCUAUUAGACAUCUAUUAUAGUACAUGGUGUCGCCACGAGAUGGACACUGUUUCUCUGUUCGGAAUUAAUUGCUCAUCGGGCAGAUUCCUGAGGCGACCCUCUCACUACCACUCGAGACUCGGCGGCCGAGCCCACGUGACGCUGUGCCCCAGGAGCGUCGCGAUAUAAAAAGUAUGCUGGGAGCAUAUUUUCCGAUUCAAACUGACAUUUAAAUGACGACAAGCAACUAGGAUUAAUGACACAUUGAAUGAAGUAUCGGAAAUGUGCAAAGGCGUUCAGUAGAGAAGUGUCUAAAAGAUUCACUGCUUUCAUACGUACUAUAAAUAUGCACUAAAUACAAUCAGCAAAUGCCAUAUUAAUAUUUUACUGUUAAUGACGGAUAAAAGUAGAUGGCAUUGGAUUUAAUUUUAUUAAUUUGUUUUUAAGAGAUUUUAAAAAUCUUUUACAUAGAUCAGAGUGAUAAACAAACGUAGAAUAAUACAUUCC